GAUGAACGCUGGCGGCGUGCCUAACACAUGCAAGUCGAGCGAUCUUCUUCGGAAGAGAGCGGCGGACGGGUGAGUAACGCGUGGGUAACCUGCCCUGCACACACGGAUAACAUACCGAAAGGUAUGCUAAUACGAGAUAAUAUACUUUUAUCGCAUGGUAGAAGUAUCAAAGCUCCGGCGGUACAGGAUGGACCCGCGUCUGAUUAGCUAGUUGGUAAGGUAACGGCUUACCAAGGCGACGAUCAGUAGCCGACCUGAGAGGGUGAUCGGCCACAUUGGAACUGAGACACGGUCCAAACUCCUACGGGAGGCAGCAGUGGGGAAUAUUGCACAAUGGGCGAAAGCCUGAUGCAGCAACGCCGCGUGAGCGAUGAAGGCCUUCGGGUCGUAAAGCUCUGUCCUCAAGGAAGAUAAUGACGGUACUUGAGGAGGAAGCCCCGGCUAACUACGUGCCAGCAGCCGCCGUAAUAC
rnacentral:rRNA from 1 species